AGCUCGAUGAGUAGGGCGGGACACGUGGUAUCCUGUCUGAAUAUGGGGGGACCAUCCUCCAAGGCUAAAUACUCCUGACUGACCGAUAGUGAACCAGUACCGUGAGGGAAAGGCGAAAAGAACCCCGGCGAGGGGAGUGAAAAAGAACCUGAAACCGUGUACGUACAAGCAGUGGGAGCACGCUUAGGCGUGUGACUGCGUACCUUUUGUAUAAUGGGUCAGCGACUUAUAUUCUGUAGCAAGGUUAACCGAAUAGGGGAGCCGAAGGGAAACCGAGUCUUAACUGGGCGUUAAGUUGCAGGGUAUAGACCCGAAACCCGGUGAUCUAGCCAUGGGCAGGUUGAAGGUUGGGUAACACUAACUGGAGGACCGAACCGACUAAUGUUGAAAAAUUAGCGGAUGACUUGUGGCUGGGGGUGAAAGGCCAAUCAAACCGGGAGAUAGCUGGUUCUCCCCGAAAGCUAUUUAGGUAGCGCCUCGUGAAUUCAUCUCCGGGGGUAGAGCACUGUUUCGGCAAGGGGGUCAUCCCGACUUACCAACCCGAUGCAAACUGCGAAUACCGGAGAAUGUUAUCACGGGAGACACACGGCGGGUGCUAACGUCCGUCGUGAAGAGGGAAACAACCCAGACCGCCAGCUAAGGUCCCAAAGUCAUGGUUAAGUGGGAAACGAUGUGGGAAGGCCCAGACAGCCAGGAUGUUGGCUUAGAAGCAGCCAUCAUUUAAAGAAAGCGUAAUAGCUCACUGGUCGAGUCGGCCUGCGCGGAAGAUGUAACGGGGCUAAACCAUGCACCGAAGCUGCGGCAGCGACGCUGAUGCGUUGUUGGGUAGGGGAGCGUUCUGUAAGCCUGUGAAGGUGUGCUGUGAGGCAUGCUGGAGGUAUCAGAAGUGCGAAUGCUGACAUAAGUAACGAUAAAGCGGGUGAAAAGCCCGCUCGCCGGAAGACCAAGGGUUCCUGUCCAACGUUAAUCGGGGCAGGGUGAGUCGACCCCUAAGGCGAGGCCGAAAGGCGUAGUCGAUGGGAAACAGGUUAAUAUUCCUGUACUUGGUGUUACUGCGAAGGGGGGACGGAGAAGGCUAUGUUGGCCGGGCGACGGUUGUCCCGGUUUAAGCGUGUAGGCUGGUUUUCCAGGCAAAUCCGGAAAAUCAAGGCUGAGGCGUGAUGACGAGGCACUACGGUGCUGAAGCAACAAAUGCCCUGCUUCCAGGAAAAGCCUCUAAGCAUCAGGUAACAUCAAAUCGUACCCCAAACCGACACAGGUGGUCAGGUAGAGAAUACCAAGGCGCUUGAGAGAACUCGGGUGAAGGAACUAGGCAAAAUGGUGCCGUAACUUCGGGAGAAGGCACGCUGAUAUGUAGGUGAAGCGACUUGCUCGUGGAGCUGAAAUCAGUCGAAGAUACCAGCUGGCUGCAACUGUUUAUUAAAAACACAGCACUGUGCAAACACGAAAGUGGACGUAUACGGUGUGACGCCUGCCCGGUGCCGGAAGGUUAAUUGAUGGGGUCAGCGCAAGCGAAGCUCUUGAUCGAAGCCCCGGUAAACGGCGGCCGUAACUAUAACGGUCCUAAGGUAGCGAAAUUCCUUGUCGGGUAAGUUCCGACCUGCACGAAUGGCGUAAUGAUGGCCAGGCUGUCUCCACCCGAGACUCAGUGAAAUUGAACUCGCUGUGAAGAUGCAGUGUACCCGCGGCAAGACGGAAAGACCCCGUGAACCUUUACUAUAGCUUGACACUGAACAUUGAGCCUUGAUGUGUAGGAUAGGUGGGAGGCUUUGAAGUGUGG
rnacentral:rRNA from 1 species